CUGCGGCAGCGACACUCAGGUGUUGUUGGGUAGGGGAGCGUUCUGUAAGCCUGUGAAGGUGGCCUGUGAGGGUUGCUGGAGGUAUCAGAAGUGCGAAUGCUGACAUAAGUAACGAUAAAGCGGGUGAAAAGCCCGCUCGCCGGAAGACCAAGGGUUCCUGUCCAACGUUAAUCGGGGCAGGGUGAGUCGACCCCUAAGGCGAGGCCGAAAGGCGUAGUCGAUGGGAAACGGGUUAAUAUUCCCGUACUUGGUGUUACUGCGAAGGGGGGACGGAGAAGGCUAUGUUGGCCGGGCGACGGUUGUCCCGGUUUAAGCGUGUAGGUGUGUGUUCCAGGUAAAUCCGGUUCACUUUAACACUGAGGCGUGAUGACGAGGCACUACGGUGCUGAAGCAACAAAUGCCCUGCUUCCAGGAAAAGCCUCUAAGCAUCAGGUAACAUCAAAUCGUACCCCAAACCGACACAGGUGGUCAGGUAGAGAAUACCAAGGCGCUUGAGAGAACUCGGGUGAAGGAACUAGGCAAAAUGGUGCCGUAACUUCGGGAGAAGGCACGCUGACACGUAGGUGAAGUGAUUUACUCAUGGAGCUGAAGUCAGUCGAAGAUACCAGCUGGCUGCAACUGUUUAUUAAAAACACAGCACUGUGCAAACACGAAAGUGGACGUAUACGGUGUGACGCCUGCCCGGUGCCGGAAGGUUAAUUGAUGGGGUCAGCGCAAGCGAAGCUCCUGAUCGAAGCCCCGGUAAACGGCGGCCGUAACUAUAACGGUCCUAAGGUAGCGAAAUUCCUUGUCGGGUAAGUUCCGACCUGCACGAAUGGCGUAAUGAUGGCCAGGCUGUCUCCACCCGAGACUCAGUGAAAUUGAACUCGCUGUGAAGAUGCAGUGUACCCGCGGCAAGACGGAAAGACCCCGUGAACCUUUACUAUAGCUUGACACUGAACAUUGAGCCUUGAUGUGUAGGAUAGGUGGGAGGCUUUGAAGCGUGGACGCCAGUCUGCGUGGAGCCGACCUUGAAAUACCACCCUUUAAUGUUUGAUGUUCUAACGUGGACCCGUGAUCCGGGUUGCGGACAGUGUCUGGUGGGUAGUUUGACUGGGGCGGUCUCCUCCUAAAGAGUAACGGAGGAGCACGAAGGUUGGCUAAUCCUGGUCGGACAUCAGGAGGUUAGUGCAAUGGCAUAAGCCAGCUUGACUGCGAGCGUGACGGCGCGAGCAGGUGCGAAAGCAGGUCAUAGUGAUCCGGUGGUUCUGAAUGGAAGGGCCAUCGCUCAACGGAUAAAAGGUACUCCGGGGAUAACAGGCUGAUACCGCCCAAGAGUUCAUAUCGACGGCGGUGUUUGGCACCUCGAUGUCGGCUCAUCACAUCCUGGGGCUGAAGUAGGUCCCAAGGGUAUGGCUGUUCGCCAUUUAAAGUGGUACGCGAGCUGGGUUUAGAACGUCGUGAGACAGUUCGGUCCCUAUCUGCCGUGGGCGCUGGAGAACUGAGGGGGGCUGCUCCUAGUACGAGAGGACCGGAGUGGACGCAUCACUGGUGUUCGGGUUGUCAUGCCAAUGGCACUGCCCGGUAGCUAAAUGCGGAAGAGAUAAGUGCUGAAAGCAUCUAAGCACGAAACUUGCCCCGAG
rnacentral:rRNA from 1 species